rnacentral:rRNA from 1 species
UGAGGAAUCUUCCACAAUGGGCGAAAGCCUGAUGGAGCGACGCCGCGUGAGGGAUGAAGGCCUUAGGGUUGUAAACCUCUAAAAGAGGGACGAUAAUGACGGUACCUCUUGAAUAGCACCGGCUAACUCCGUGCCAGCAGCCGCGGUAAUACGGAGGGUGCAAGCGUUAUCCGGAAUCACUGGGCGUAAAGGGCGCGUAGGCGGUCUGUUAAGUCCGAUGUUAAAUCCCGGGGCUCAACCCCGGAUAAGCGUUGGAUACUGGCAGGCUAGACUGUUGGAGAGGCGAGUGGAAUUACCAGCGUAGCGGUGGAAUGCGUAGAUACUGGUAGGCACACCCAUUGCGAAGGCAGCUCGCUGGACAACACGUGACGCUGAGGCGCGAAAGUGUGGGGAGCAAACC